rnacentral:rRNA from 1 species
AUGUCUUUUUGAUUUUUUGAUCUAAGGUCUAAUCUGCUCAAUGAUUAAUUAAAUUGCCGCAGUAUUUUAACUGUGCUAAGGUAGCAUAAUCAAUAGUUUCUUUAUUGGGAACUGGAAUGAAUGAUUGGACAAGAUAAUUUCUGUCUCUUUUUAAAUUGAUUUUUAAUUUUAUUUUUAAGUUAAAAAGCUUAAAUGAUUUUAAAAGACGAGAAGACCCUAUAGAAUUUUACAUUAUAGUGUUUUUAGUAAUUUCAAUUUUGUUUAUUUGGGGUGAUUUGAGGAUUUGAUUAAUUCUUUAAAUUUUAAAUUGAUGAUAAUUAAUUUUAAAUUUUAAUUAUUUUAAGUAUAAAAUAAAUUACCUUAGGGAUAACAGCGUAAUUUUUCUUUAAAGUUCUAAUUAUAAGAAAAGUUUGCGACCUCGAUGUUGGAUUAAAAUUAAUUUUUGGCGCAGCAGCUUAAAAAUUGGGUCUGUUCGACCUUUAAAAUUUUACAUGAUCUGAGUU